ensembl:lncRNA
CUUGGUGAACACGGUGUGCGCCCAAAUCCCAACAAACAACACCCAAACCCCAACACCCAAAUCCCAAAAGGAACACCCGGAUCCCAACACCCCAAACCCCAACAACCCCAACCUGAAAGGAACACUCAGAUCCCAAAAAGAACACCCGGAUCCCAACACCCAAAAUCCAAAAAAAUCACACGCAGAUCCCAAAGGAACACCUGGAUCCCAACACCAAAAUCCCAAAGGAACACCCGGAUCCCAACAACCCCAACCUGAAAGGAACACUCAGAUCCCAAAAAGAACACCCGGAUCCCAACAACCUCAACCUCAAUGGAACACCCAAAUCCCAACACCCAAAUCCCAACAAUGUCAACCCCAAAAGAACACCCGGAUCCCAACACCCAAACCCCAAAGGAACACCCGGAUUCCAAAGGAACACCCGGAUCCCAAACACCCAAACCCCAACAAUGUCAACCCCAAAAGAACACCCGGAUCCCAACACCCAAAUCCCAUAAAAUCACACCCCAAUCCCAAAACAACACCUGGACCCCAAAGGAACACCCGGAUCCCAAAAAAUAACAACCAGAUCCCAAAGGAACACCCAGAUCCCAACACCCAAAUCCCAAAAAACAACACCUGGAUCCCAACAACCCCAACCUGAAAGGAACACUCAGAUCCCAAAAAGAACACCCGGAUCCCAACAACCUCAACCCCAAAGGAACACCCGGAUCCCAAAGGAACACCCAGAUACCAAACACCCAAAUCCCAAUAAACGACACUCAGAUCCCAAAGGAACACCCAAAUCCCAAAGGAACACCCGGAUCCCAACAAACCACACCCAAACCCCACCAACCCCCAUCCCCCGUCCGCCUGUUCCCUGCUCGCCUUCCGCUUGUCCUUCUUGUCGUCCUUCUUGGUGAACACGGUGUGCACCCAAAUCCCAACUAACAACACCCAAACCCCAACACCCAAAUCCAGAUCUCAAAAAGAACACCCGAUCCCAAAGGAACACCCGGAUCCCAAAGCAACACCCGGAUCCCAACACCCAAACCCCAAAAAACAAGACCCGGAUCCCAACAACUGGAACCCCAAAGGAACACCCGGAUCCCAAACCCCAACAACCCCAACCUGAAAGGAGCACUCAGAUCCCGAAAAGAACACCCGGAUCCCAACAGCCUCAACCCCAAAGGAACACCCAGAUCCCAACACCCAAAUCCCAACAAUGUCAACCCCAAAAGAACACCCGGAUCCCAACACCCAAAUCCCAAAAAACAACACCCGGAUCCCAACAACCUCAACCCCAAUGGAACACCCGGAUUAACAACACCCAAAUCCCAACAACCUCAACCCAAACAGAACACCCGGAUCCCAAAAACAACACUCGGACCCCAAGGGAGCACCCAAAUCCCAACAAACCACACCCGGAUCCCAAAACAACACCUGGACCCCAAAGGAACACCCAGAUCCUGAAGGAACACCCAAAUCCCAACACCAAAAUCCCAGAGGAACACCCAAAUCCCAACAAACCACACCCGGAUCCCAACAACCGGAACCCCAAAGGAACACCCAAAUCCCAACAACCUCAACCCAACCCGGAUCCCAAAAACAACACUCGGACCCCAAACACCCAAAUCUUGACAAACAACACUCGGAUCCCAAGGGAACACCCAAAUCCCAACAAACCACACCCGGAUACCAAAAGAACACCCGGAUCCCAACACCCGGAUCCCAAAGGAACACCUGGAUCCCAACACCAAAAUCCCAUAAAAUCACACCUGAAUCCCAACAACCUCAACCCCAAAAGAACAACUGGAUCCCAANAAAACCCUCAAAAACCCUUGGAGAGCCUUCCAGAACCUCCUCAAACCCCUCCAGAACAUCUCCAGAACUUCCCAGAACCCUCUCAAACUCUUGGAGAACCUUCCAGAACCCCUUCAAACACCUGGAGAACCUUCCAGGAGCUCCUCAAACGUCUCAAGAACCCCUCAAACAUCUCCAGAACAUCUCGAGAACCUCCCAGGAACCCUCCAACCCAUCCAGAACAUCUCAAGAACCUCCCAGGACCCCCCCAAACCCACAGAGAACCUUCCAGAACCACCUCAAACACCUGGAGAACCUCCCAGGAGCUCCUCAAACACCUCAAGAACCUCCUCAAACACCUCCAGAACAUCUCGAGAACUUCCCAGGAACCCUCAAACCCCCAUAGAACCUUUCAGAACCACCUCAAACACCUCCAGAACAUCUCCAGAACUUCCCAGAACCACCUCAAACCCUUGGAGAACCUUCCAGAACCCCCUCAAACACCUCGAGAAUCCAUCAAACACUUCCACAACAUCUCAAGAACCUCCCAGGAGCCCCCCAAACCCCCAUAGAACCUUCCAGAACCACUUAAAACAUCUCCAGAACCUCCCAGGAACCUCUCAAACAUCUGGAGAACCUCCCAGAACCACCUCAAACACCUGGAGAACCUCCCAGGAGCUCCUCAAACACCUCAAGAACAUCUUGAGAACCUUCCAGAAACCCCUCAAGCACCUGGAGAACCUUCCAGGAGCUCCUCAAACACCUCAAGAACAUUUUAAGAACUUCCCAGGGACCCCAAACACCUGAAGAACCUUCUAGAACCUCCUCAAACACCUGGAGAACCUUCCAGAACCACCUAAAACACCUCCAGAACAUCUCGAGAACCUCCCAGGACCUCCUCAAACCCCCAUAGAACCUUCCAGAACCUCCUCAAACAUCCCCAGAACAUCUCAAGAACUUCCCAGGAACCCCAAAACCCCUGAAGAACCUUCCAGAAUCCCCCCAAACCCCCAUAGAACCUUC